rnacentral:tRNA from 1 species
GCGCCAUUAGCUCAGUUGGCAGAGCAGCUGACUCUUAAUCAGCGGGUCCCAGGUUCGAGUCCUGGAUGGCGCACCA